CUUUGGAACUGUUCUCUGGGGGGUCUUUGUUGUUCAGCAUAGUGGCGCUUUCGGCUAUACAGCCGUCCUCAGCUGAAAUGAUUUUCUCGAUGUUUUUGAAUGGAAGCUGUAAGAUUAGAGUUUCCGUUCAAAAACAUUGAGAGGGGUAUUUCAGCUGAGGAUGGUUGUAUAGCCGAGAGCGCUGCUAUGUUGAAUGAUGGAGACUUCUUGGGGAGUGGUUCCAGGGGUCUGCUCGGUAGUGCUGACGAUAGAGUAUUAUUUUCACUAGGGAUAUUUGGUUUUGGCCACUUCAGAGCUCAUCACAAGCUGGCUAACACUCAUGAUAGAAUUAUUGCCAUAGGCAUUGAUCAAUGUGCUCAUUCCUUCUAAAAAAACUUUAAAUAAUCAAUUUUUGUUCUAACUUGUAAGCCAUUCUUAAUGUUCUAGUAAUAUAAUAAUAAUGGUUAAAUAUACAGAGUGUCUGAAAAGUGUCUUUACAUUUUUAAAAAAUCCAUUAAAAAGAAACAAAGAAGGAUGUGCAUUUACUAUUUUUUGUAUUCGAUAAAGA
rnacentral:lncRNA from 1 species